rnacentral:rRNA from 1 species
GCUCAACCGGGGAGGGUCAUUGGAAACUGGGGAACUUGAGUGCAGAAGAGGAGAGUGGAAUUCCACGUGUAGCGGUGAAAUGCGUAGAGAUGUGGAAGAACACCAGUGGCGAAGGCGACUCUCUGGUCUGCAACUGACGCUGAGGCGCGAAAGCGUGGGGAGCGAACAGGAUUAGAUACCCUGGUAGUCCACGCCGUAAACGAUGAGUGCUAAGUGUUAGAGGGUUUCCGCCCUUUAGUGCUGCAGCAAACGCAUUAAGCACUCCGCCUGGGGAGUACAGUCGCAAGACUGAAACACAAAGGAAUUGACGGGGGCCCGCACAAGCGGUGGAGCAUGUGGUUUAAUUCGAAGCAACGCGAAGAACCUUACCAGGUCUUGACAUCCCUUGACAACCCUAGAGAUAGGGCUUCCCCUUCGGGGGCAGAGUGACAGGUGGUGCAUGGUUGUCGUCAGCUCGUGUCGUGAGAUGUUGGGUUAAGUCCCGCAACGAGCGCAACCCUUGAUCUUAGUUGCCAGCAUUCAGUUGGGCACUCUAAGGUGACUGCCGGUGACAAACCGGAGGAAGGUGGGGAUGACGUCAAAUCAUCAUGCCCCUUAUGACCUGGGCUACACACGUGCUACAAUGGGCAGAACAAAG